rnacentral:rRNA from 1 species
CAGUCGCCGCGGUAAUACGAAGGGGGCUAGCGUUGCUCGGAAUCACUGGGCGUAAAGCGCACGUAGGCGGAUCGUUAAGUCAGAGGUGAAAGCCUGGAGCUCAACUCCAGAACUGCCUUUGAUACUGGCGAUCUCGAGUCCGGAAGAGGUAAGUGGAACUGCGAGUGUAGAGGUGAAAUUCGUAGAUAUUCGGAAGAACACCAGUGGCGAAGGCGGCUUACUGGCUCAUACUGGACGCUGAGGUGCGAAAGCGUGGGGAGCAAACAGGAUUAGAUACCCCUGUAGUCCCUGUCUCUUAUAC